ACUGAUGUAUUCAAUGAGUUUAUAACCUUGGCGGACAGGCUCGGGUAAUCUUUGAAAUUUUAUAAUGAUGGGGAUAGAUCAUUGCAAUUGUUGGUCUUCAAUGAGGAAUUCCUAGUAAGUGCGAGCCAUCAGCUUGUGUUGACUACAUCCCUGCCCUUUGUACACACCGUCUGUCGCUCCUACCAAUUGAAUGAUUUGGUAAAAUGUUCAAAUUCUGACAAUGUGGGUGGCUCACUGCCUGCAACGUCGUGAGAAGUCCAUUAAACCUUAUCAAUUAGAGGAAGAAAAGUCAUAACAAGGUUUCAGUAGGUGAACCUGCGGAAGGAUCAUUGUCAAAACUUGUAGAGCAGAAUGACCCACAAACGUGUUUAAUAACUGGGGAGCCCACGAGGGUGGAUUUCUUUGGCCCUCAGCACGAGAACCUUCCCUCAUCCUCGGUGCACGCACCCAGUACGCGCGUCGGGCAACUAAUGAACACCAAUGCGAAAAGCACUAAGGAAUACUCAAAUUGACAGCCUGCACCUCACUCUCCAUUUGUGGCGUGGAUCAAGGGGACGUGUGCUUCUCUUAUAAAUAAAAAUUACUCUCGGCAAUGGAUAUCUUGGCUCUCGUAUCGAUGAAAAACAUAGUGAAAUACAGUACUUGGUGUGAAUUGUAGAAUCUCAUGAACUAUUGACUCUUUGAAUGCAAGUUGCACCUGAAGCCAUUAGGCCAAGGGCACGUCUGCCUGGACAUCAUACAUCACGUCGCCCCCUUACAUCGUGCCUUAAUCAUGGGUUGUGCUUCCAUCGUGGGGCGGAUAUUGGCCUCCCAUUCACCUCGAGCUCGCGACUGGCCUAAAUGCGAGUCCACAAAGUUGGACGUGGCAAGUGGUGGUUGUAACUCAACUCUCUUUGCAGUCGCGACUACAACUCGUCGUGUAUUUGGACUCCAAGACCCUACCAUGCUUAGGCUCUCUAACUGCAACCCCAGUUUAGGAGGGAUUACCCACUGAGUUUAAGCAUAUCAAUAAGCGGAGGAAAAGAAACUUACAAUGAUUCCCUUAGUAACGACGAGCGAACCAGGAACAACCCAUCCUUAGAAUCAGGUGGCUCCAUCUUCUAAAUUGCAGUCUGGAGAGGCGUCCUCAGUGGUGAACAAGUCCCAAUUCCCCUGGAANUAGAAAAUAUUCAAAUGAGAACUUUGAAGGCUGAAGAGGCUAAAGGUUCCAUGUAAAUGGCACUUUCACUUGGGUUAGUCGAUCCUAAGGUUCAGGGGAACCCCGAUAGAUAGCGCAUUUCGUGCAUACUCCUAAAGAAAAUCAAGUUAAAAUUUUUUGAAUAGGGAUGUGGUGGUCGACAAAAACAUUAGAAAGUCUGGAGAUGUCAGCGGGAGCCUCGGGAAGAGUUAUUUUUUCUAUUUAAAAGCCUGCCCACCCUGAAAUCGGCUUAGCCAAAGCUAGGGUCCAGCGACUAGAAGAGCACCGCACAUCGCGUGGUGUCUGAUGUGCUCCCGGCGACUCAUGUAAAUCUAAAAGACCAAAUGUUGUACAUUCCCAGUCGUACUCAUAACCGCAUCAGGUUUUCAAGGUGAACAGCCUCUGGUCAAUGGAACAAUGUAGGCAAGGGAAGUCAGCAAAAUGGAUCCGUAACUUUGGGAAAAGGAUUGGAUCUGAGGGCUGUGCACGGAGAUCCCAGUCCUGAUUCAUCGGCUUUUGGUUAGAAUUCUUGAGAUGCUCCCGUAGUAAGAGCAGGUUGUCGUGUGCCGGCUGGGGGACAAACUGGGAAGGGUUCCUUCGGGGGCCUUCCCCACACAUCGAAUAACCAACUCAGAAAUUAUACUGACAAAGGGAAUCCGACUGUUUAAUUAAAACAAAGCAUUGCGAUGGUCCCAACGGAUGUUCACAUAAUGUGAUUUCUGCCUAGUGCUCUAAAUGUCAAAGUGAAAAAAUUCAACCAAGCACGGGUAAACGGAGGAAGUAACAAUGACUCUCUUAAGGUAUCCAAAUGCCUCGUCAUCUAAUUAGUGACACGCAUGAAUUGAUUAACGAGACUCCCACUAUCCCAGUCUACUAUCCAGUGAAACCAAAGCCAAAGGAACGGGCUUAGCAGAGUCUGUGAGGAAAGAAGACCCUAUUGAGCUUGACUCUAGUCUGACUUUAUGAAAUAACUUGAGAGGCAUAGUAUAAAUGUGAUUCGAAAGGCGAAACUGAAACACCACUACUUUUAACAAUAUUUUACUUAUUUCGUGAAUUGAAAGUGGGGCACUGCCGCUCUUUUUGGACCCAAGGCUCGAUCUACAGGCCAAACCAGGUAGAAGACAUUGUUAGGUGGGCAGUUUCGCUGGGGCAGCACAUCUGUUAAAGAAAUCUCAUGUGGAACAGAAAUUUAAAAGCUAGUUUGAUUAUGAUUUUUAGUACGAAUACGAACCGUGAAAACAUGGCCUAACGAUCCUUUAGACCUUUAGAAUUCGAAGCUAGAGGUGUCAAAAAAUUUACCACAGGGAUAACUAGUUUGUGGCAGCCAAGCGUUCAUAACGACAUUGCUCUUUGAACUUUCGAUGUCGUCUCUUCUUAUCAUUGUGAAACAGAAUUCACGAAGUGUUGGAUUGUUCACCGACUGAUAGGGAAUGUGAGCUGGGUUUAGACCAUCAUGAGAAAGGUUAGUUUUGUCCUACUGAUUAUCAUACUUACUUAACUUGGUUUUCCUCCUAACCAGUGCUUAAUUUAGCAUCGCGGUACGGCCCAAUUAACUUUUUCCUCCACCUAGAGGAUAUGAAUUUCACCUCCAACUUCAUAUCUAUUUUUUUUUCCUCGAUCAUAGGGAGGUGUUACAAACAUUUAGGAAUCGAGUAAUGGAAUAUGCAUGAUAAACCACUCAGCCUUGAAGAGAGGUGUGUGUUUUAUGUUACUUUUCUUGUGCAAAAUUAAGAAUAUAGGAUUCUUAUUCCUCAUCUUCACACUUUCCUACUGCUUUAAAUGACUCCACAAACAAGACAUCAUCUAAACAUAAUGUAUAAAAGAGUUUUG
rnacentral:rRNA from 1 species